rnacentral:rRNA from 1 species
GUCUAUGGCCAUGCCACCCUGAACAAGCCCGAUGUCCGAUCUCGGAAGCUAAGCAGGGUUGUGCCUGGUUAGUACUUGGACGGGGGACCACCUAGGUAGACCAGGUGCUGUAGGCA